UACGUAGGGUGCAAGCGUUGUCCGGAAUUAUUGGGCGUAAAGAGCUCGUAGGCGGUUUGUUGCGUCGGCUGUGAAAUCCCGAGGCUCAACCUCGGGUCUGCAGUCGAUACGAGCAAACUAGAGUGUUGCAGGGGAGACUGGAAUUCCUGGUGUAGCGGUGAAAUGCGCAGAUAUCAGGAGGAACACCGGUGGCGAAGGCGGGUCUCUGGGCAACAACUGACGCUGGAGGAGCGAAAGCCGUGGGGAGCGAACAGGAUUAGAAACCCCG
rnacentral:rRNA from 1 species